AGAAUAGAAAUACUUCAGUCUGUCCGUUCACAGGGAAUAGAUUCCCUGGAUAAAGUGGAAGCGGUGAUUCUUGAAACUGAUGGAAGUAUGUCAGUAAUCCAAAAGUCUGAAGGGAAGCAACAUGAUACGCUUAGUAAUGUCAAAGGCUAUUAGAUGAUUUGGUUUCGGUCUGUUCCUGCUCUUUGAUAUAAUACAACUACUAUUACUUAGAUGAUUAGGGAGUUCAGUUCAUGAAGCCGUUCACCAAUACCGUGAUCAAUAUUAUUAAGAUAAUACCAGAGGGAUCAGUGAUGACAUAUGGUCAAAUCGCCGCAUUGGCCGGAAGCCCCCGGUCUGCAAGGCAAGUGGCUCGAAUUCUUCAUUCAAUGAGUGGAAAGCAUAACCUUCCAUGGCACCGGGUUGUCAACGCCAAGGGCGAAGUUGCUAUAAAAGAGGAAGGAUCACAUGAGGAACAAAAAAUUCUGCUGGAAAUGGAAGGCGUAUGCUUGUCUGGAAGUAAGAUUGAUUUAGGAAUAUAUCAGUAUCACCCGUGACAAAAAAGGAUGAAAUCAAAUGAUGUUGAACUCGCUUAACUAACAAUAUGGAAGGACAAAGUUCUUUUUAAAACUUUUUCGGCAUAAAGUGUUGCAUUUGGUUUAUAUGCAUGGUAUAUUAUUUGAGUUGCUUCAAACGGCGGCGUUAAAAACAAACAGUCAAUAAAAAAAUGUUGACUCGGUCAGAAAGAAAAUGUUACAUUGUUUUGGUCGCCAAAAAAACGGCGCUUAAACAAAACAAAAAAGUUGUUGACAGGCAUUUCGGUAAAUGUUAUGAUAGUAAAGUCGCUGUCAAAACGACAACAACGAAAAUUUGAUCUUUGAAAACUGAACAAAACAAUCAUUAUGUCAAGCAAGAAAUGCUAGUCAAGUUUUCGAGCAAGCAAGCUCACAUUUUAUGGAGAGUUUGAUCUUGGCUCAGGACGAACGCUGGCGGCGUGCCUAAUACAUGCAAGUCGAGCGCGGGAAGCAAGCAAUCACCCUUCGGGGUGUGCGCUUGUGGAACGAGCGGCGGACGGGUGAGUAACACGUGGGCAACCUGCCUGUAAGACUGGGAUAACCCCGGGAAACCGGGGCUAAUACCGGAUAACACUUUUCUCUGCAUGGNGUAGGCGAGGAGAGAAUCCUAAGGUGAGCGGGAGAACUCUCGUUAAGGAACUCGGCAAAAUGACCCCGUAACUUCGGGAGAAGGGGUGCUUCUUUUGCGAGAAGCCGCAGUGAAAAGGCCCAAGCGACUGUUUAGCAAAAACACAGGUCUCUGCGAAGCCGUAAGGCGAAGUAUAGGGGCUGACACCUGCCCGGUGCUGGAAGGUUAAGGGGACGCGUUAGCCGCAAGGCGAAGCGUUGAACCGAAGCCCCAGUAAACGGCGGCCGUAACUAUAACGGUCCUAAGGUAGCGAAAUUCCUUGUCGGGUAAGUUCCGACCCGCACGAAAGGUGCAACGACUUGGGCACUGUCUCAACGAGAGACCCGGUGAAAUUAUACUAUGCGUGAAGAUGCGCAUUACCCGCGACAGGACGGAAAGACCCCGUGGAGCUUUACUGUAGCCUGAUAUUGCAUGUUGGUACAGCUUGUACAGGAUAGGUGGGAGCCUUAGAAGCCGGAGCGCUAGCUUCGGUGGAGGCGUCGGUGGGAUACCACCCUGGCUGUACGGACAUUCUAACCCAGGACCGUGAUCCGGUCCGGAGACAGUGUCAGGUGGGCAGUUUGACUGGGGCGGUCGCCUCCUAAAGAGUAACGGAGGCGCCCAAAGGUUCCCUCAGAAUGGUUGGAAAUCAUUCGCAGAGUGUAAAGGCAGAAGGGAGCUUGACUGCGAGACCUACAAGUCGAGCAGGGACGAAAGUCGGGCUUAGUGAUCCGGCGGUGCCGUAUGGAAGGGCCGUCGCUCAACGGAUAAAAGCUACCCCGGGGAUAACAGGCUUAUCUCCCCCAAGAGUCCACAUCGACGGGGAGGUUUGGCACCUCGAUGUCGGCUCAUCGCAUCCUGGGGCUGUAGUCGGUCCCAAGGGUUGGGCUGUUCGCCCAUUAAAGCGGUACGCGAGCUGGGUUCAGAACGUCGUGAGACAGUUCGGUCCCUAUCCGUCGUGGGCGUUGGAAGUUUGAGAGGAGCUGUCCUUAGUACGAGAGGACCGGGAUGGACACACCGCUGGUGUACCAGUUGUUCCGCCAGGAGCAUAGCUGGGUAGCUACGUGUGGAAGGGAUAAGUGCUGAAAGCAUCUAAGCAUGAAGCCCCCCUCUAGAUGAGACUUCCCAUCAUUUUAAAUGAGUAAGAUCCCUCAGAGACGAUGAGGUUGAUAGGUCCGAGGUGGAAGCGUGGUGACACGUGCAGCUGACGGAUACUAAUCGAUCGAGGACUUAACUAU
rnacentral:rRNA from 1 species